GGCGAACGCUGGCGGCAGGCUUAACACAUGCAAGUCGAACGGGCACUUCGGUGUCAGUGGCAGACGGGUGAGUAACACGUGGGAACGUACCUUUUGGUUCGGAACAACUGAGGGAAACUUCAGCUAAUACCGGAUAAGCCCUUACGGGGAAAGAUUUAUCGCCGAAAGAUCGGCCCGCGUCUGAUUAGCUAGUUGGUAGGGUAAUGGCCUACCAAGGCGACGAUCAGUAGCUGGUCUGAGAGGAUGAUCAGCCACAUUGGGACUGAGACACGGCCCAAACUCCUACGGGGGGCGGCAGUGGGGAAUAUUGGACAAUGGGGGCAACCCUGAUCCAGCCAUGCCGCGUGAGUGAUGAAGGCCCUAGGGUUGUAAAGCUCUUUUGUGCGGGAAGAUAAUGACGGUACCGCAAGAAUAAGCCCCGGCUAACUUCGUGCCAGCCGCCGCCGUAA
rnacentral:rRNA from 1 species